rnacentral:lncRNA from 1 species
ACGCGUCCCUCUUUACGCAGGGGCUAGCCGCAGAUCCCAAGGUGCAUAAGGGACUGUAGUCCUGGGAGUCCAAAAGGAGCCCGUCAUUCUGCACGAGUGCCCAUGUCAACCUUGUUUCUAUCUCGCAGAAGCUAUGCUUCAACUCCCAAAGCCUUGCGCCUGGCUGUUGUUUCCUGCAGGCCUCCAUCAAACCUUCCUCCCUGGCCGUGAACAAAUGUGACUCCAUCCGGGAACUCCGAGGACUCGGGAAGAGGGAUAGAGUCCUGGGCUGAGACUCAGGAGACCCAUACUCCAGUCCCAACUUCAUCACGGAUUUGCUGUGUGGCUGGACGUUCUGUUCUCUCUCUGGGCCUCAAUGUCCUUCUUCCAAAGGAGGCUUUUAAUAACAAU